CCUACGGGGGGCUGCAGUGGGGAAUAUUGGACAAUGGGGGGAACCCUGAUCCAGCCAUGCCGCGUGUGUGAAGAAGGCCCUCGGGUUGUAAAGCACUUUCAGUGAGGAAGAACGCCUGGUGGUUAAUACCCAUCAGGAAAGACAUCACUCACAGAAGAAGCACCGGCUAACUCCGUGCCAGCAGCCGCGGUAAUACGGAGGGUGCGAGCGUUAAUCGGAAUUACUGGGCGUAAAGCGCGCGUAGGUGGCUCGAUAAGCCGGUUGUGAAAGCCCCGGGCUCAACCUGGGAACGGCAUCCGGAACUGUCAAGCUAGAGUGCAGGAGAGGAAGGUAGAAUUCCCGGUGUAGCGGUGAAAUGCGUAGAGAUCGGGAGGAAUACCAGUGGCGAAGGCGGCCUUCUGGACUGACACUGACACUGAGGUGCGAAAGCGUGGGUAGCAAACAGGAUUAGAUACCCCUGUAGUC
rnacentral:rRNA from 1 species